AAGGUACUUCUUCAGUUCCGAAUUAUUUGUCGCAUGUAUGAAUGUAUCUAGAUGUAUUUUAGUUCUAGAUACAUUCAUUUCUGCGACGAGUAAUUUGAAACGGAGGGAGUAUUAA
rfam:Triticum aestivum genome assembly, contig: Triticum_aestivum_CS42_TGACv1_scaffold_309331_4AS